GAAAUGCGAUAAGUAAUGUGAAUUGCAGAAUUCAGUGAAUCAUCGAAUCUUUGAACGCACAUUGCGCCCGCCAGUAUUCUGGCGGACAUGCCUGUUCGAGCGUCAUUACAACCCUCAGGCCCCCGGGCCUGGCGUUGGGGAUCGGCGGAAGCCCCCUGCGGGCACAACGCCGUCCCCCAAAUACAGUGGCGGUCCCGCCGCAGCUUCCAUUGCGUAGUAGCUAACACCUCGCAACUGGAGAGCGGCGCGGCCACGCCGUAAAACACCCAACUUCUGAAUGUUGACCUCGAAUCAGGUAGGAAUACCCGCUGAACUUAAGC
rnacentral:misc_RNA from 1 species